rnacentral:misc_RNA from 1 species
UUAAUUUAUUAAUUAAGUUUACUCAGACUGCAAAGUUACGCAAGAGUUUGAAGUGUCCACCCGGAGCCCCCGCCCGAAGGCAGGGUCGCCCCGGAGGCAACAGAGUCGGACAACAAAGGGUUAUGAAUAACCGGGCCGAAGCCCGGGCGUUCUUGUAAUGAUCCCUCCGCAGGUUCACCUACGGAGA